CCUACGGGAGGCAGCAGUGGGGAAUAUUGCACAAUGGGGGAAACCCUGAUGCAGCGACGCCGCGUGAGUGAAGAAGUAUUUCGGUAUGUAAAGCUCUAUCAGCAGGGAAGAAAAAUGACGGUACCUGAGUAAGAAGCACCGGCUAAAUACGUACCAGCAGCCGCGGUAAUACGUAUGGUGCAAGCGUUAUCCGGAUUUACUGGGUGUAAAGGGAGCGCAGGCGGUGCGGCAAGUCUGAUGUGAAAACCCGGGGCCCAACCCCGGGAGUGCAUUGGAAACUGCCAGGCUGGAGUGUCGGAGGGGAA
rnacentral:rRNA from 1 species